rnacentral:snRNA from 1 species
GUGCUUGCCUUGACAGCACAUAUACUAAAAUAGGAACAACACAGAGAAGACUAGCAUGGCCCUUGCAUAAGGAUGAUACACAAAUUCCUGAAGUGUUCUGUAUUUUA